GAUGAACGCUGGCGGCGUGCCUAAUACAUGCAAGUCGAACGCAUAGCGAAAGGUGCUUGCACCUUUCAAGUGAGUGGCGAACGGGUGAGUAACACGUGGACAACCUGCCUCAAGGCUGGGGAUAACAUUUGGAAACAGAUGCUAACACCGAAUAAAACUUAGUGUCGCAUGACACAAAGUUAAAAGGCGCUUCGGCGUCACCUAGAGAUGGAUCCGCGGUGCAUUAGUUAGUUGGUGGGGUAAAGGCCUACCAAGACAAUGAUGCAUAGCCGAGUUGAGAGACUGAUCGGCCACAUUGGGACUGAGACACGGCCCAAACUCCUACGGGAGGCUGCAGUAGGGAAUCUUCCACAAUGGGCGAAAGCCUGAUGGAGCAACGCCGCGUGUGUGAUGAAGGCUUUCGGGUCGUAAAGCACUGUUGUAUGGGAAGAACAGCUAGAAUAGGAAAUGAUUUUAGUUUGACGGUACCAUACCAGAAAGGGACGGCUAAAUACGUG
rnacentral:rRNA from 1 species